AGCUCCACCGCCUGCUGCUUCUUCAGGACCAGGAAGCUGUAGAACUUGGCGGCCGCCUGCUUCCUGUUGUUGUUCCGGCAGAGGUCGAGCAGACUGACCGACUGGGUGCCCGUCUUGGUCAUCACUCUCUGAGUAACAGAGCGUACACAGAUCACGGACAUCACUUUUACUUAUUCUGGGAGAACUCCAGAGUGGUCGCAGUAAAACAGGUGACCUGCAGGUGGACACACACUCACCUGUAGACCAUGCAGCAUCUGCUGAGUUCUUUUGUUCCACCUUCUCUCCUCCUGAUCCUGGUCUCCUCCCUGUGCCUCGUCCUCCUGAUGUAGAGAAAAACCCACAUCAGCACUGGUUGCUAACAGGAGGCUACAGGUUCAUGUUCAUGCUUAUGCCAGUAGGUCCAGCUCUAUCAGCUGGCUGAUGUUGGUGCUGGUCUCCUCAGGUGGAAGCUCCACAGUGGUGGAAGACUCCAACUGCUGGGACACAUUACCGACUGUGGACGUCUCCUGCUGCUGCUCUUCCAAAGCCC